UUUUAUUUUUUCCUUUUUCUCCCCAAAGCCCCCUGGCACAUAGUUGUGUAUUCUUCGUUGUGAGUCCUUCUAGUUGUGGCAUGUGGGACGCUGCCUCAGUGUGGUUUGAUGAGCAGUGCCAUGUCCGCGCCCGGGAUUUGAACCAAUGAAACACUGGGCCGCCUGCAGUGGAGCGUGCGAACCUAACCACUCAGCCACGGGGCCAGCCCUGCCCCAUUCCUGUUUUAAAGAUGAGGAAGCUCAACCUGAGAAGGUUUAUGUCAUGUCCAUGAAUAACAACAGCUGGAAGAUUAGCCCUGAUCUGACUGCUGCCAAUCCUCCUCUUUUUUUGCUGAGGAAGGCUGGCCCUGAGCUAACAUCCAUGCCCAUCUUCUUCUACUUUAUAUGUGGGAUGCCUACCACAGCAUGGCUUUUUGCCAAGCAGUGCCAUGUUCACACCCAGGAUCUGAACCGGUGAACCCUGGGCCACCAAAGCGGAAUGUGCAAACUUAACCACUGUGCAACCGGGCCGGCCCCCACAUCCACAUUUAUUACCUGGUAUCAACGUUAUAUACCUCAGUGAGUCCCAGCAGGGCCUCUUCUUCAAGCAGUGGUAUUGCCCUGAAUCACAGAGGUGUUACAUGUCUGUCCCCUGUCAUCUAUGUUAAGCAGAACUCAAGCCAGUGGCUGGGAGUUUGGAUGACAGGAUUCAGUUAUCAGAACAAAGGGAUUGGCAUGUAUGUGGUCAAGGUUCCAGUCCAGCAAGCUUAGGUUCAGAACAAGAUCCUGAUUUCGGAAUGAGAGUCAAUAUGCAAGUCAGGAACUGAGGUUAAGGUUCUGUUAAAUGGGUCAGCUUACCUGACAUGCAUUAUAAGAAGUCUCAUGACAGAGCGAUGACUACAACAUCUACAUGAUGCAUCACAAUUACCUGAGGUUCUUCGUUUCAGGGCGCUCGCCCAGAUCUAGUCAUAUAUUGAGAGAAUUCUUUUGCAAGAUCAGGUAGUGAAUCUGAGGGUCAGGUUUAGAAAACUGACUUACCAGGCCCUCCGCUGUCUGCACACCCUGGAUUCUGAGCCAGCUACAGCAGCAAGGGCUUAGGUCCUCUCACUUCAAGUCUAGGACUCUUUCCUUUAUAUCCUCCUGCUGCCUUUAUGGUUGAAGAAGGACAUCACAACAUUCUUUUAUAUGAGAGAAACGGGUUUGUCUUGGUGUGACUAUUAAUUUUUAUGCUAGAUGGUCAGUCUAGGUGGGACUUGGGUGGAUAUCUUGGGAGACUGAACUUUGAAUCCAUGUGUCCGUAACAACUGGGCUCUAUCAGUCAGAAAAGGUUAGAUUUUAAUAAAAAUUUUUCUCUGUGGCAUACAACAACAAAGGUUUGUUUCUUAUUGAUUUACAUAUGUAUGCUGGAUCUUUCAUGGGCUCUGUCUACUCGGAUCUUCUCCAACUCCAGGAACUAGGCUAGUUGCUGAGAGAGGGAAAGAAGAGCAGGGCAAAGCAUACUUUGGCUUUGAAAGCUUCCACCCCAGAGUGACACAUC
rnacentral:lncRNA from 1 species